UACGGGGGGGGCAAGCGUUGUUCGGAAUUACUGGGCGUAAAGGGCGUGUAGGCGGCCUAGCAAGUCAGCUGUGAAAGCCCCAGGCUCAACUUGGGAAUUGCAUCUGAAACUGCCGGGCUAGAGUUCAGGAGAGGAGGGCGGAACUCCCAGUGUAGCGGUGAAAUGCGUAGAUAUUGGGAGGAACACCGGUGGCGAAGGCGGCUCUCUGGACUGAAACUGACGCUGAGGCGCGAAAGCCAGGGGAGGGAACGGG
rnacentral:rRNA from 1 species